CCAUGUCAUGUCACCAUGCUCUUUGUGUUCCUGUUUAUAGGAGAAAGAGACAGAAUGUUGGAAUUUGCAUUUUUCCAUAGGGCUAUCUUGUGUCAGUGGCAGCUACCCCAUUUCCCUCCACAAUUUUCAGGUUAUAGGAUUCAGAUAGGGUGGGAAUGGGGAUUGUGACUUUUCAGUGCUGGAAAGUUUGGUGAAUAAAACAUAUGGGAUUAUUUAGAUAUUAAAAAACCGUUCCUCCCCUGAUUUUUGAGGCCUAUAAAGAAGAGCCCAAUUCAGCCAUGAGCCUUAAAUACAUUGGGUUGAACCAUACGAAAUUGCUGGGUUUUGUGUGUCAAUACAAUGGCAGUCAAAUAUCAACCACUUCCUCAUUUCGACCUAAUGAGAUGUGUAUGUAAAAUUGAGAACUUUCAGUGAGAAAGCAUGGCCCGCCUAUGAAACCUCAGUUUUAUUGUGGGACAGUUUUCCUGAAAUCUUUUCCAGCCAACUAUCUCAAAUUCAUUUACAACAAAUAUUUGGAGAAAGGUGCUGAGGACCCUUCUCUGGAGUUGGCCUCGGAGGCUCCAACUCUGGAAUCUAUUUGAACGGCUCAUUCCUGGCUCUGUAGCUCUGAAAAACCUCAGAGAAGCAAUUCUCCAAAGAGCACACGUGCAGCAAAAGAAAAGCCAAGGCAAAACAAAACAAAACAAAACAAAAUCCACGGAACUACUUGGAAGGCAGAUGUGAGCACCUGCAGAUGAAUUAUAAAAAAAUAAUAAAUUAUCUCUCCUAAUUGGCAAAACCUUCACUGAGACUCCCCAGCCUAGAAGGGGGCUCUUAGCACAAGGGGAGGGGCAAACUGGGCUCUGGUUUUCCUAAGAAGAGGCUGCGGACAAGAGAAACGGACCAAAUACAUACAGCUCAGAUGCGUCAUCAUUAUAGGAAAUCUUUAACAGUAACCUUUGGGGCAUAUUCACCGGGUGCAGGGCACUGUCUAGGACAUGUGGAAAGGCAGCAUGGAGACAGUCGGGAUGAGCUGAAACUCUGACCACGGGCAUGUGGGUCACGGAGGUGCCACGUGUUUACUCAGCUGUGCCCCAGCCCGUGAUGCUGCUGGGGAGGUCCUGCGUCCACUGAGAUGGAAAUGCACUCUGGCCCACAGCGACCGGAAUGUGAUGACAAACUGGAAACCUGCACAGAUUUUAUAAGCAAAGCUUCUGGCCUCUUCCCAAACGCCAGAGGUGCUUUCUUAGUCAGCUGAGUCAUUCAAGAGAAAGUCAGAUAAAAAGAGAAGGGUUUCAGCACUUCCUGGUUCUUUCUCUGGCUUGACUCUCAUCGGGACGUGCAGAAGCCCAACCUCUGAGAGUUCUCUUCGUGGAAGUCGUCACAGACUCAAAAGAAAUGCAGGGAAUAGGACACACUGAAAAACCUAAGUCUGCAAUUCUUAGGUUUUCAAAGCUCUACAGAAUCCGUUUAAAGCCUGAAAGAAUCAGGCUAAGUAGACAUUUUGUCAUAGCUACAAGAAGCAAGAGCUGCAUGUCCACAAUGACACAAAUAUGACCCAGGUGGUCAGUGGUCCAAGCAGGCACGUCCUUGCCAGCUCCCUGUGCGCCCCUGGCAUGGAUCACAGACCAGGCUGGCAGAGCCGGGGGUGGUCCGAGACCUGGGCACAGCCAUGUAAUCCCAUCCAAAGUGUGACAGCUGCUCACCCACUCAGCUGGCUCUCUGCCCCGUGACCAGGUCAGGAGUCCCUGUUCACCCACCCAGCCAAGGUGAUGCCGAACACCUGAGUGUUGUCAGGUGAGACAGAAGACCGUCUGUCACUGCGACGCAGGCAGCAGUGAUGCUGGAUCCCAAGAGCUGGGAGGCCACCCAGCAGGUCCACUUUCUGAAGGAAGCUUCUGCAGCGUGACAGGUCCUGGCCCCUGCCCGCCUGGCAGGGUAGAGGGUCAGCUUCCACAGGAAAAAUAAGGAAAUUAAGCAGAGGGGCCACUUCCUUUUUCAAAUGAUGUUAAAGAAAGUCAGCAUUUGGAGCUAUAUCUUCUUUCCCCAGCAUGGCCCAUUACUGUGAUUUGGCCUUAAAAUGGAUGGGAAGAAGCCAGCCCAUUUUGUGUAUGUCCUCUGAGCACUGCAAGUCUGCCAAGACACUUAGGGUCAGAUUCUUUGGAUUGGAGGUCCGGGAUUUGCAAGGGGACGUCCCCCCAUGUUGCAGUUGGCUCCAGCAUCAGAGUUCCCCUAAGGGGCUCCUGGAGGACUCUGUGCCAGCACCCACCCUGGUGACGGCAAAAUAACUGCAACUCCCCGCCCGACUGAGGCAUCAGGAAGGAUUUCUUCCCUGAGCACUGCUUCUGGGGUCUGUUACAGUCAGAUGAACGGCAGCAUCUUCGCCCCAUGUAGCGACGGGAGGGGAUCUGUCGGUGGAGGUGUGGGGUGUAGUAACAGGCUCCCUCCUGACUGUAGUGAGAAAAUAUUUUAACAGGAACAAGUCUGCUUUAAAUAUAACUUAGGUAGCAUUUCUCCCUGAAGGCUAUACAUUUCUUCUCCACAUUGUAAAUAUCUAAACAGAAUUUUUUAGUCUCUCUAUGACUUUCUUCA